GCGGUUCCUGAACAAUCACUUUCAAGUCACGUUAACUUGGCAGCUGCAAUUACGGCUACGGAAAGAUGUCACGGAUGAAACCAACGCUGUAUUUGGUGUCUAUUCCAAAUGUCCAUAUACACGAUGAUGGCUGUUCCGGUGAAGUGUUGUUAGCGAUAGGAACGAAGAUAACGAUAUGCUUAAUGAGGUGAUUUGCGCGGAAGAUUUACAAUGUAGAGUCCAGUAAAAGCAGUUCAAUACCAACAGAAAACCAUCCGAAAUUCGGAUUCGAUCAUCGAACCCAUCUACUAGCGCGAAUUUCGAGCUACAUAUCAUCAACAUAUUGGCGAAAAUUAUUAAAAA
rnacentral:lncRNA from 1 species